UACGGGAGGCAGCAGUGGGGAAUUUUGGACAAUGGGCGAAAGCCUGAUCCAGCANUGCCGCGUGCAGGAUGAAGGCCUUCGGGUUGUAAACUNCUUUUGUACGGAACGAAAAGACUCCUUCUAAUAAAGGGGGUUCAUGACGGUACCGUAAGAAUAAGCACCGGCUAACUACUUGCCACCA
rnacentral:rRNA from 1 species